rnacentral:rRNA from 1 species
AGUGAACGCUGGCGGUAGGCCUAACACAUGCAAGUCGAACGGCAGCACAGUAAGAGCUUGCUCUUACGGGUGGCGAGUGGCGGACGGGUGAGGGAUACAUCGGAAUCUACUUUUUCGUGGGGGAUAACGUAGGGAAACUUACGCUAAUACCGCAUACGACCUACGGGUGAAAGCAGGGGAUCUUCGGACCUUGCGCGAUUGAAUGAGCCGAUGUCGGAUUAGCUAGUUGGCGGGGUAAAGGCCCACCAAGGCGACGAUCCGUAGCUGGUCUGAGAGGAUGAUCAGCCACACUGGAACUGAGACACGGUCCAGACUCCUACGGGAGGCAGCAGUGGGGAAUAUUGGACAAUGGGCGCAAGCCUGAUUCAGCCAUACCGCGUGGGUGAAGAAGGCCUUCGGGUUGUAAAGCCCUUUUGUUGGGAAAGAAAAGCAGCAGGUUAAUACCCCGCUGUUCUGACGGUACCCAAAGAAUAAGCACCGGCUAACUUCGUG